rnacentral:rRNA from 1 species
CAGCAGCCACGGGAAUACAGAGGAUGCAAGCGUUAUCCGGAAUGAUUGGGCGUAAAGGGCUCGCAGGCGGUUUCUUAAGUCUGAUGUGAAAGCCAGGCUCAACCGGGGAGGGUCAUUGGAAACUGGGAAACUUGAGUGCAGAAGAGGAGAGUGGAAUUCCACGUGUAGCGGUGAAAUGCGUAGAGAUGUGGAGGAACACCAGUGGCGAAGGCGACUCUCUGGUCUGUAACUGACGCUGAGGAGCGAAAGCGUGGGGAGCGAACAGGAUUAGAUACCCCGGUAGUCCCUGUCUCUUAUACAC